GUGAGCAUAAAAAUAUAGGAAAAUAAAUAAAUUUUGGGAAAAUUAAAAAAAAUUAAUAGGAAAAUUAGAAACACGUUGAUGCAUUCAUGCUGCAGCACUUAUUUUUGUGAUGUGUGAAUUUAUGCAAAAGGAAAUUUGUUCAAAAUUCAAAUUGCUAAUGCUUUUGAAAAUGGGUUAAAAAAAGAAAAGAAAUCCACCCAUCUAUCCCUUCCACCCUUGUUUUCGGCCUGCUUGGCCCAAGCCGGCCCAGCACCCGCGCCCCCACCUCCCCCCCUCUCUCUCCCGCUGACAGGCCGGGCCCGCCUGUCAGCAACUCCUUCUUCCUCCAACCGUCUCCUCCCUCUCCCCUCUCUCUCGGUUCAGAACUGCAAGCCGCCCGAGCCACUCUCCACGUUCCCCACUCCUCUCCCCCGC
rnacentral:lncRNA from 1 species